rnacentral:rRNA from 1 species
GGAGGUAGUGACAAUAAAUCACAAUGCGGAACUUUUAGUUUUGCAAUUGGAUUGAGAACAAUGUACAAAUGUUAUCGAUAAACAAUUGGAGGCAAGUCUGGUGCCAGCAGCCGCGGUAAUUCCAGCUCCAAUAGCGUAUAUUAACGUUGUUGCAGUUAAAAAGCUCGUAGUUGAAAUGUGGGAUGAAGUAUAUAAUGAAUUUCUAAUUCAAUUGUAUAUUGAUUCCCCUCUCCAAUUUAUUAUUAUGGGUAUUAAUUUAUUUGUAAUAAGAAUUGGUCAUUUACUGUGAGAAAAUUAGAGUGUUCAAAGCAGGCAUUUGCUUGAAUAGAUUAGCAUGGAAUAAUACUAAAAGGCUUUUAUGGUCGAUUUAAUUGGUUUGUUCAUAAAAGCAAGAUUAAAAGGAACAGUUGGGGGUAUUCAUAUUCAAUAGUUAGAGGUGAAAUUCUCGGAUUUAUGGAAGAUGAACAAGUGCGAAAGCA